rnacentral:tRNA from 1 species
GGCCCACUAGCUCAACUGGCAGAGCAGCUGACUCUUAAUCAGUAGGUUCUCCGUUCGAUCCGGAGGUGGGUCA